AUGUGGGCAAAUACAUGGCUUCUGACCAACAUGAGAAAUUAUCAUAGAGAGCAUGCGCUCCAAUGAAGGAGCUUUUCCAACACAAUUGUUAGGCCUUCUAUUUUCCUUCCCCACAAGAACAAUUUCUCUAAAUAGAGUGAAGACAUUUCUUUGCAAUAGAUAGCCGACAAUCUUACAUGCCCAUGGAAGUUUUUGAUCUAUCAACAGAACUACAACUUCCAGCAAGACAACUGCCGGUUCACUAGAUUCCCACGGUGUCAUCAAUACUUGAUCCUUCAAUUGUUCUCU
rnacentral:misc_RNA from 1 species